rnacentral:rRNA from 1 species
UACGUAGGGGGCAAGCGUUAUCCGGAUUCACUGGGUGUAAAGGGAGCGCAGGCGGUACGGCGAGUCUGAUGUGAAAACCCGGGGCCCAACCCCGGGACCGCACCGGAUACUGCCGGACUCGAGUGCCGGAGGGGCAGGCGGAAUUCCUGGUGUAGCGGUGAAAUGCGCAGAUAUCAGGAGGAACACCGGUGGCGAAGGCGGCCUGCUGGACGGUAACUGACGCUGAGGCUCGAAAGCGCGGGGAGCGAACAGG